rnacentral:tRNA from 1 species
UGUGGAAUAGUUUAAUAGGUAAAAUCAAGAUUUCCAAAAUCUUUGAUAAAGGUUCGAAUCCUUUUUCCCUUG